GAUGAAGAACGUAGCGAAAUGCGCUAAGUAAUGUGAAUUGCAGAAUUCAGUGAAUCAUCGAAUCUUUGAACGCACAUUGCGCCCGCCAGUAUUCUGGCGGGCAUGCCUGUUCGAGCGUCAUUUCAACCAUCAAGCCCCCGGCUUGUGUUGGGGACCUGCGGCUGCCGCAGGCCCUGAAAAGCAGUGGCGGGCUCGCUGUCACACCGAGCGUAGUAGCAUACAUCUCGCUCUGGGCGUGCUGCGGGUUCCGGCCGUUAAACCACCUUCAUAACCCAAGGUUGACCUCGGAUCAGGUAGGAAGACCCGCUGAACUUAAGCAUAUCAAUAAGCGGAGGA
rnacentral:misc_RNA from 1 species